UUCACCUCUCAUGAUUACGUAGAAUGGAAAAAGAGGUUGAUGAAAGUAACCUAUAGAAUCGAAGAGCUGGUGCUGGGAAAUUCAUUUUGGGAUAAAGUGCGUGAUGUUGUGGGUAUUCUAGAGCCCAUUUAUGUGGUGUUGAGGAUGGUGGACAAUGAGACAAAUCCGUCGAUGGGGUCGCUGUAUCCGUCUAUACAGCUGAUGAAAGAGGCCAUCAUGGUUAAAGCUUCCAAUGCAUAUAAGUGGGUGCAUGCAAUAAUAGAUGACUGUUGGGAAAGGACGCUUUCUCACCCACUACAUCAGGCUGCCAGAACCUCUUCGAAGAUAAUUCAUUAAAGAGGGCUGUGCAUGAGGUGUACGAUCACUUAUUCCCCGACUGUCCGAGGAAAGGCACAUUUGGUAGUGAGAUUGUUAAAUUCCGCGACGCAGUUGGAAUGUUUGGGUGUCACCCUACAGUGAAGUCAAGGAACGCUAUGAUGGCAUGCGAAUGGUGGUCCAUGUAUGGGACUAACUGCGAGGUUUUACAACGAUUGGUUGUCUGUGUGCUUGCACAGACAGUGUCCUCGUCACCCUGUGAAAGUAAUUGGAGUACAUUCUCCC